rnacentral:rRNA from 1 species
UACGAAGGGUGCAAGCGUUGUUCGGAAUUACUGGGCGUAAAGCGCGCGUAGGCGGGUCAGUAAGUCGAUUGUGAAAUCCCUGGGCUUAACCUAGGAACUGCAGUCGAAACUACUGAUCUUGAAUGUCUGAGAGGAUGGCGGAAUAACCGGUGUAGUAGUGAAAUACGUAGAUAUCGGUUAGAACACCUGAGGCGAAGGCGGCUAUCUGGCGGUACAUUGACGCUGAGGCGCGAAAGCGUGGGGAGCAAACAG